GAUGAAGAACGUAGUGAAAUGCGAUACGUAAUGUGAAUUGCAGAAUUCAGUGAAUCAUCGAAUCUUUGAACGCAUAUUGCGCUCUCUGGUAUUCCGGAGAGCAUGCUUGUUUGAGUAUCAGUAAACACCUCAACUCCCCUUUCUUUUUUUGAAAUGGGAGCUGGACUUGAGUGAUCCCAACGCUUUUCUCACCGAAAAGUGGCGGGUUACUUGAAAUGCAGGUGCAGCUGGACUUUUCUCUGAGCUAAAAGCAUAUCUAUUUAGUCUGCCUAAAAAACAGAUUAUUACCUUUGCUGCAGCUAACAUAAAGGAGAUUAGUUCUUGUGCUGACUGAUGCAGGAUUCACAGAGACAGCUUCGGCUGGCCUUUGUAAACUCGAUCUCAAAUCAAGUAAGACUACCCGCUGAACUUAAGCAUAUCAAUAAGCGGAGAA
rnacentral:misc_RNA from 1 species